rnacentral:rRNA from 1 species
AGCAGCCGCGGUGAUUCCAGCUCCAAUAGCGUAUAUUAAAGUUGUUGCAGUUAAAAAGCUCGUAGUUGAAUUUCGGAAUCAAUGGAUCGGUCAUGCCACUCGGUGUGUACUGGUUUGAUUGGUUCUCACCUUCUAAGGAACCGUGAUGUCAUUAAUUUGGUGUCGCGGGGAAUUAGGACUGUUACCUUGAAAAAAUUAGAGUGUUUAAAGCAAGCUCACGCUUGAAUACAUUAGCAUAGAAUAAUGAAAUAGGACAUUGUAUUCUAUUUUGUUGGUUUCUAGGAUCGAUGUAAUGAUUAAUAGGGAUAGUUGGGGGCAUUAGUAUUCAAUUGUCAGAGGUGAAAUUCUUGGAUUUAUUGAAGACUAACUACUGCGAAAGCAUUUGCCAAGGAUGUUUUCAUUAAUCAAGAACGAAAGUUAGGGGAUCGAAGACGAUCAGAUACCGUCGUAGUCUUAACCAUAAACUAUGCCGACUAGGGAU